rnacentral:rRNA from 1 species
GAUGAACGCUGGCGGCGUGCCUAAUACAUGCAAGUCGAGCGAACGGACGAGAAGCUUGCUUCUCUGAUGUUAGCGGCGGACGGGUGAGUAACACGUGGAUAACCUACCUAUAAGACUGGGAUAACUUCGGGAAACCGGAGCUAAUACCGGAUAAUAUUUUGAACCGCAUGGUUCAAAAGUGAAAGACGGUCUUGCUGUCACUUAUAGAUGGAUCCGCGCUGCAUUAGCUAGUUGGUAAGGUAACGGCUUACCAAGGCAACGAUGCAUAGCCGACCUGAGAGGGUGAUCGGCCACACUGGAACUGAGACACGGUCCAGACUCCUACGGGAGGCAGAAGUAGGGAAUCUUCCGCAAUGGGCGAAAGCCUGACGGAGCAACGCCGCGUGAGUGAUGAAGGUCUUCGGAUCGUAAAACUCUGUUAUUAGGGAAGAACAUAUGUGGAAGUAACUGUGCACAUCUUGACGGUACCUAAUCAGAAAGCCACGGCUAACUACGUG